CUCACGUAGAAGGGAACUUCAGCUGAUGGGUUCCUUAUGUUAAUUCCCUUUUCUUCUUUCUUUAACCAAUUUCGUCCUCCAUUAGAGGGGUUUUGAAGCUCAAAAUUGAGAGACUUGUGGUGAGAGUUUGAUGUUGAGGUGUGAAUAAAAAAUGACCUAGAGGGAAUGAGGUUUCCAUUGAUAUAUUAUUUCUAGUCAUUCCUUAAUCCAUAGGUUUCAGAAAGUGUCUUGAAAAGAGGAGGAUCUUAGUUGUGCUUCAAUGGAGAGUUCUUCAUCUUCAUCAUCUUGUUGGUGGGUUCGAUCUAUCCUUGGGAUAGCUUGGAGGUGUUUGUUCCUAGGGUUUAAACUCACUUCAGGUUACGGACAAGAGGUCGUAGAGGGAUUUCCUCCACAGCCAUGGAUGGAUGUUGGGUUCCAUUUGGUUAUUUAUCUUUGUCUAAAUGAAAAAUGUAUAUUUUGAAACCAGUAUGUAUAAUUGUAAAUAUUUUUUCUAAAUAGAUCGUGUUUAAAUAUUGUAAUUAAAGGAUUGUGGGAUUUUACGUAUGAAACCCACUUUCAUAUUUUUAGAUAAUGUGUGAACAGGGAACUUUAUUUAAAAUGAUUUUGAAUCAAUGGAUUUUUCUAUUAUCAGCUUUGGACAUUAAAGUUUUAUUAAAAAAAAAAUUUGACAUUGUCCCAGGGCUCGGUCAGACAUUUCUAAAUACGAGUAUUUCUUUGUUCUGUUUUAUAUUCACAACCGAGCUUAAUGUCUAGGGUCGUGACAAUCUAUAAUGUAAUAAUGAUGUCAACACUUACCACAUAAAAUUAAUUGGAUGCAUUAGACAUUUGGACUCCUUAUCUUUACUCUUUUUAAUAACUUUUUCACACUAUCAUUUUCAACAUCAACAUUUACUUAAUUAAUUAAGUGCACUAAUUAUUAGGGGUGGAGCCGAAAAUUAAAUUUAGGGGGCACAGUGUAAAAAAAAAAAAGUCAAUAAACAU